ensembl:lncRNA
GCCGCGUCGGCAUCCAGGGCAGGGAGCCGCCGGCCCCGGCUCCGGACGGGGAGGCGCUGGCCCGGCCCGGCCCGGCCCGGCUCCGCUCGGGAAUGCCCCGGCAGGAAGGUGCCAGGGGUACCCGCAGCUCCGGGACUGUCGGGAACUCGCAGCUUGGCUCCCGCCCAUCGCGCUCGUCCCGCAGGGAAAAUCCCCGGCUCCGGAUCGGUAGCAGGGGUGAAACCUCCCAGAACGGGUCCCAAGGGCGCUGUGAAGGCUCUCGGUGCUGCAGCUUUUCUAUUCCAUUGGCAGAGAUUAUUUUACCUAGCCUUCAGGCGCGAUCAGAACUAAUGAACUCCCCGAGUUAAAGCUGCCCACGAUGCCCGUGCAGCCCUUGUCUGAGCAAGGGAAUCUUCUGAUUUCCCACUCUGAUCCAUGGGAAUUUAACACCCCUUCCCACUGGCACUGGAGAAUCCACAAAGCCGGCUCGCUUCCCUUUUGCUCCCUUGGUGCUUCAGGAUUACCAGGAAAAAGAAAUAAAGGCCCUUUAAAAAAUUGCACCAAAGAGGACUUGGCUGUUGGAGAGUUCCAGGGUUUCUCCUGCAAGGCAGUUUCUCUGAUUAGUUUUUCUCUGUCUUUAGAACAGAGAGUUGUGUUUAAGAGUAUUCCUCGUGGAGAAACAAACUGCGCUUUAGGAAACCUGGGAUCCAGAGGGGAAUGGAGACUCCCUUGGAUGUUUUGUCGAGAGCAGCAUCUCUGGUCCAUGCUGAUGAUGAGAAACACUUUAUUUAUGGUAUGCCAUUCAAACUCUGAGCUGGAGCAGGAGGGAUCUGAGCACGGAUUUUCCAAUCCAAGAAAUUGUAGUUCCUGAUCUCAGAGCUGUGUGACCAUUGCUGCUGCUGAAGCCCAGCGUGUUCCCGGCAGGAGCUGCUCCCUGAACAGUGGCUCAGCUUCUCAUGACUCCCAACAGAUGUUUUGCCUUUAAAGGUCACUUAAACUUUCUGUCCAGGCUGGCUCCUCGCUGCCCAGAGCGUGCCAGCAGAGUUCAGAGCUGGAAUGGGGGCUGACAUCAGCAAUGAAAUGUCAUGGAUUUCUUGUUCAAUUUGUAGUUACCCAACCAAACCCCAGCAGCUGGCAGAGCACGGCUUGGAUUUCUUGUUCAAUUUGUAGUUACCCAACCAAACCCCAGCAGCUGGCAGAGCACGGCUCAAAAUGCUCCUUCCAUGGCAAAACAGGGAUGCUGUGAGCACCUGGGACAUGGUUCAAAAUGUUCCUUCCAUGGCAAAACAGGGAUUCUGUGAGCACCUGGGACAUGGUUCAAAAUGUUCCUUCCAUGGCAAAACAGGGAUUCUGUGAGCACCUGGGACAUGGUUCAAAAUGUUCCUUCCAUGGCAAAACAGGGAUGCUGUGAGCACCUGGGAUGUGGUUCAAAAUGCUCCUUCCAUGGUAAAACAGGGAUUCUGUGAACACCUGGGAUGUGGUGGGCUUCUCAAUGGCUUAAGACAAUCUCUGGAGUUCCAAGGGCUUGAUUUUUGCAAGGCUUCAAGAUGAAAUUUAUCCAUUUAUAGGUGGAGCAGAGGCAACCUGGCAAACCCACAUGACGAUGCAGAACCAUGCUGUAAUAAAAUCCUGAAUGUUGUUAUAUCUGCCUGCA